rnacentral:tRNA from 1 species
GUUCUUGUAGUUUAAUGUAACGGUGGCUUUUCAGGCCAGAGGUCUUGGUUAAAUUCCAGGCAGGAAUU